CUGGUCUCUCUUUGAUGUGAUUGGGAUGGAAAACCAAAUUACUUGCAAUGAAGCACAAAUGCUGCCAAAACUGAAGGUAAUUGGAAAGCUUAUUGAAGAGAUCUGCUGCUCCCCUUCAUCACUCAGACUUGAGCCAAUGAAGCUCAAACCAAAUAAGGGUAUCCCAAGGAAAAAAAGACAACUAAAGGAGCACCUGGACAAAAUAUACUUCUGGAAUGAGCAUCAUUGUUCCAGAACCCCCCUGUAUGGUAGAGACCUGUUGGAAACUUGCUUUUGGAUCAGUGAAAGAAAUAUCUGCCAGCAUUGUUCUGCCAGGAUUAACAAGUGGUGCUGGGCUGGGUUUCCAAAUUGCCUUCCAUAUUCCAGCACUUCAGAGGCUCUAAGGAUCCAUUGCAGGAACUCAUUCUGACACUGAAACAGCAACAGAUUGCCCUGAAGGAUGUUGUUACCAGAGACCCUGUGUGUGUUCCCAGCUGUAGCUGUUGCUCCUCCAUGUUUGUAUGGAGCAAAUCCUUACAGAUGGACCCCUGGAAUGAAACUCUUGCAGUUCAGUCUCAAGGAGCAGAGAUGGUGCAGGGUGAUUCAGGUAUCAAACACCCACCACUGCUUACACCUGUGUCUAACCAGUCUGUAAUUGUGAGUGUGACCUGCAGAACCCCCAGGUUCUCAUUCAUAACUAGCAAGCUGGGAGCUCUGGCUGUCCUGCUUUGGAAGCUGAAAGCAGAAGGGGGAGCAGGUGCUGAUUCUGACACAGAGGACUGCAAUGCUCAGCAUCCUGGAGCUUUUUCUGAACUUCCAUUUCCUCACGUGAGUGAGAGUGGUGCUCACAGCUGGCUUUAUCUGGAAUUAAUAAAAAACUUCAACCAAGACAAGUGAUCUUCUGUGCUAUCCCACACUCCUUCCACAGGUGUCAGUCACACAGAUGUGAUUGCUCUUCUAUGACACUGAUUCAGAUCUGCUGAUGGACACGAAGACUGAGGGAUGCUGUGACAAAACUGCAAGAGGAAGAGACACCCACACAUACAGGCUUGUAAGUGGUAAUUCUAUUGAAGAAAGGCUGUUGAAAAAGAGCAUUAAACAUAUGAUUCAAGAAUUGGCUGCUUGGGGGGAUUGUUCAACCGACUUUUUAUCUCAGGUACUGUAACAUUAGGAAUGUGAGCAGUUAUUUAAUGAUACAUUAAAAAUUAGCAUUUUACUAGAUCUGAGAAUUUUGAAAAAGUAGUGGUUUAUUUAUUUCUAGGCUUGUUUGGGAACCAGGGAUAUGUGUUCACAGUUAAAUUCAGAAGCAAUCCUGAACUGUCAGCCUAUAUGGAAAAUCAGUAGGCAACAAUAUCUAGUAAUAAAGAUUUGCUUGUUCCAAUGAUAACGUUAUCCUUUUAUUGACCUUGUUUAAAUCAAUCAAAAGCAACAUCUGCAGCAAAAAGUGUCAAACACAUCUGUGAUCUGACUUUUCUGAACUUGAUUUUAGGAUGACUAAAUAGUUUUUGAUAUCAUGCCUUAUCUUACUGAGUACUUAAAAACAUAUUUCCAUAAAGUUCUUUGCUGUGAAUAUGGAAAAGAAUCUAGAACAUUUAUGAAAGAGAGACUGUCUGAGCUAAGAAAUUACUUAGAUUGGAGAUGUAUGACUCAGAAAACACCAUGGUUCCUACACCUGGCUGGCUUGGUGGGCCAGGUAUGGGGAUUUCCCUUGUUUUAUGUAAACCUUUACCAACAUUUGGUGUUUACUUUCCACAGUAAUCGAGUGGCUUCUGUAAAGCCUUGUUUUCAAUCCAUUUACAUCAGACAGUUCUGUGCAAAUUUAAAUACUGAAACACUCAAACUACUCAGAGGUAAUUUGAGCCUGUUCAUAGAUCUGUUCUGAAACAUUUAGUGUUCUCCUGAGGGUUGUAAUUUGCAGUGAACUAAAUUGUAUUAUGUUGUAAAACUGUUUCAGACUCCUGUGCUUUGCCAGACUAUUUGCAUUUUUUUCUUAAAGGUCUAGGCUCAUGUCAGGGGUGUGGUCAACUCUUGUAACCAUGUUAAUCACUCUCCAAAGCAAUGGUAAAAUCUUUACAAUAAAACCAUUGCAGGUCCAGAGGGAAAAGUGAGUUUACCUUGAAACUUGCUUUGAAUUGUGAAGACUUGGGGGCUUCUGGGGUCUUUUUUGUGUUUGUUUUUUUUUUUCCCCUUUCAAUUCUUCAUUGCUGUUAGAGUACUACAUGAGUGUUUAUUAAUCAGAAACAUAACUAGAUUUUAGAAUUUUGAAUAGCUUGGUAUACAAGCAAACAUUAGUCAAUACCUUCUCCUAACAGUAUGACUAAUAUAGGUUGUACUUACUACAUUUCCAUACACUUAGGAAUAUGAAUUUCCCAAUGUUAUGACAAUAUGACCUUGGAUGUAUAAUUUUUCACUACCAGUAUAAUAAAAGUAAGGGAGGGGAGCUGUUUAUUUAACUUUUAAGUGAUAGGAUAUGAAUUGUCUUCAGUCAAGACUAUUGACAACUAUGAAUUUUGAGACAGGGCACUUUUGAUUAUGUAUUUUUGGUACCUAAGCCUUCACUUUGUAUUUAUCCCAGAAUGUAGGUGGUUAUCCUCUUUGAGUUAGACAAGCCUGUGCUGAAGUCCAGAAUUCUGUGUAUUCAAAUCUAUACAAAUCACUUUGAACUGAUGCCAAUGACUACUAGAAAAGGAAGUUCCUCAUAUAGAUUUCUGCAAGUUUACUUCUACUGUCAGUAAUUUUUUUCAGAUUUAACAGUAAAUCACUGCUGGCCUGAUUGGUGAUUUUGGCUUCUCUUAAGCAUGAAUGUAUUUCUCGGGGACCUUUUUCUUAUCGAAGGGUGUAUGACGACCUUUAGCCUUAAGGUAAAGUAGUAUUUACUGUCCAAGAAUCAAAUUUGUGCUCGGGCUGAUAGAAAGAAAAGCCUGAAGUGCUUCGAUGUACCAGAAGUAGUUCCUCCUGUCCCGCUGGAAGCUCCUGAGCAUCAGUGUGUGCCCGCUGUCUCCUGUGCUGUGACCCGCUCCGUGCUGAGCCUCCCUGCAGACACCGACACACAGGGAUGGGGUCCCCUCUCAGCCGCCUCUUCUCGAGGCUGAACAGCGCCGCUCCCGCAGCCUUCCAACCCCUUCAUCACCUUUGUUUCCCUCGCUGGCCCCGCUCCAGGCUCUCCCAGUCUCUGCUGCCCUGAGGAGUACAAGCCCUGCCAGCUGCAAGUGUGGAUUUUCACACCGUCUCUUAAGAGAAGCGACAGCCCUUCUCCCUGCGCGGACAGAACCCACCCUUUGCUCUGUCCUUACCCUCCCCUUCCUCCGCUACAAUAAAUGCAAUUUUUCUGUCCUGUC